UCGUCAUCAACCCGCAAGAAUGCAACAGCAGUCAAUUCUUUGGUCUGUUCAUUCUGCAAAUUCCAAACUCCAUCUCUGGUAUUGCUGAAUGCCUCUUGGGUCAUUCUUAUCUUAGGCAGUAUCCGAACUUCAAAUCCACACCUAGAUGACAACAGAAGAUGUAUUAUCAAAUGAAUGCUUUAUUUCAUGAAAAGGAAAUCUUAAGGCGAAUCCCUCAUCAUGCUGGCCUCUUGACAAGGAGGAGAGAAAAGCAAUACAAAGGAAGCAGAACAUAAUGAUAACUUGUCCAGUAAAAAAAUGUUGUCCGCACAUUAAUCCAAAAGUAGAGUGCUAAAUAAGAAAUGCACACAAAUUUCAAUCACACCGGUGCAUAAUUACCUCCACUUAGCGUUGGACAGCAAAACCACAAAAAGAAAAAAAAAAAUAUCUUUUUUUCAAAGCACAAGAACAUUGACCAGUGGUAAUAAGGUCCAUGUCAACACCAUCAACCACCAGAAUUCAUCAAAUUUUCUAUGUAAUGCUUAUGCUGAAUAUCAGAGGUAAAAUAUCCUAAAGAGAUCAACUUGAUAGAAAACAAAAGCUCAGCUCAAAUCAAAAGAAUAAAAGAGUUUGUCCCAAUUACCAUUUAAAAAAAAGAAAGAAAAAAUCAAGGUGUCGAUUGACGAUUAAAGUAUACUUUUUUUUUCUGCAGAAUGCAUAAAAAAAAUUGUAGACACUGAAUGUAAGAAAAUGAACAUACAUGCUGAAAAGCAAGUUUGGAUUGUCCUUGCUGUAUACAGAUACAAAGCUGUUCUCCCACUCUAAUGUUGUGAUACUUCGAGGAAGACGAUUCUUCAUAUCCCAGAACACACUUCUCCCAAGAUUGACUGAAAAGCAGAUAUAAAGGAUUAAGUGUCAUCAAAAUCUAAUGAAGAUCAUUUUGAAGUAGAUAGUUUUGUUACAAAGGUGUCAGUGUAUACCAUCAUGUUUCAUGAGCCUCAUUCUGGCAUCUCUUGGCCAACACUUCUUAUUGUUAUAUCCAACCAUAUUUUCAUUGUUUGGAUCAGGAUGCUCAGUGAGAUACCGCUGAAUAAGAU
rnacentral:lncRNA from 1 species